rnacentral:rRNA from 1 species
GACCCCGCACAAGCGGUGGAUCAUGUUGUUUAAUUCGAAGAUACGCGAUAAACCUUACCAGGUCUUGACAUACUCAGCAAUGCUUAAGAGAUUAAGCGGAGGUUAUCUGGGAUACAGGUGGUGCAUGGUUGUCGUCAGCUCGUGUCGUGAGAUGUUGGGUUAAGUCCCGCAACGAGCGCAACCCUUGUCGUUAGUUACCAUCAUUAAGUUGGGGACUCUAGCGAGACUGCCAGUGAUAAACUGGAGGAAGGUGGGGAUGACGUCAAAUCAUCAUGCCCCUUAUGACCUGGGCUACAAACGUGAUACAAUGGCUGAAACAAAGGGCAGCAAGCUAGUGAUAGUAAGCGAAACCCAUAAAAGCAGUCUCAGUUCGGAUUGAAGUCUGCAACUCGACUUCAUGAAGUCGGAAUCGCUAGUAAUCGCAGAUCAGAAUGCUGCGGUGAAUACGUUCUCGGGGUUU